GGCAAAAUGACUCCGUAACUUCGGAAUAAGGAGUAGCUUUCUUAAGUUAAAACUUUUGAAAGCUGUCACAAAAUCGAGGACAGCGACUGUUUAAUAAAAACACAGGUCUCUGCUAAUUUGAAAAAAGAAGUAUAGAGACUGACGCCUGCCCGGUGCUGCAAGAUUAAGAGAAAAAGUUCUGGCUUUGACUUUAACCCCCAGUAAACGGCGGCUGUAACUCUGACGGUCCAAAGGUAGCGAAAUUCCUUGGCAUUUAAUUGGUGUCCUGCAUGAAUGGCGUAACGACUGUCCUACUGUCUCCAGUGCAAUUUCAGUGAAAUUGAAAUGUCUGUGAAGAUGCAGACUACUUGCGGCUAGACGGAAAGACCCUGUGCACCUUUACUAUAAUUAUAAAUUGUAAUAAAAUUUUUUUUGUGUAGAAUAUGUGGUAAGUUUUUAUUAAAUCGUAACAUAAGUUAUUCAUUUAAACAUCAAUGAAAUACCACUCUUAAAAACUUUUGUUACUCAUGAGCUUAAAACAGUUUAUAAUGGGUAGUUUGACUGGGGCGGUCGC
rnacentral:rRNA from 1 species